rnacentral:rRNA from 1 species
CGAGAAAAGACUUCGGCUAAGUAAAGCGGCGCACGGGUGAGUAACACGUGGGUAACGUACCCUCGGGUGGGGGAUAACAGACCGAAAGGUUUGCUAAUACCGCAUCAGACCACAGUCCUCGCGGGGACAGGGGUCAAAGGGGGCUGUCGCAAGGCAGCUCUCGCCUGAGGAUCGGCCCGCGGACCAUUAGCUAGUUGGUAGGGUGACGGCCUACCAAGGCUACGAUGGUUAGCUGGUCUGAGAGGACGAUCAGCCACACUGGGACUGGAACACGGCCCAGACUCC